UACGUAUGGGGCAAGCGUUGUUCGGAAUCAUUGGGCGUAAAGGGCACGCAGGCGGACUGUUAAGUUGGAUGUAUAAUCUUCAGGCUCAACCUGAUUCCUGCAUUCAAUACUGGCGGUCUAGAGUCUCGGAGAGGAAAGCGGAAUUCUCGGUGUAGCGGUGGAAUGCGUAGAUAUCGAGAGGAACACCAAUGGCGAAGGCAGCUUUCUGGACGAUGACUGACGCUCAGGUGCGAAAGCGUGGGGAGCAAACAGG
rnacentral:rRNA from 1 species